AGAGUUUGAUUCUGGCUCAGGANNNACGCUGGCGGCGUGCCUAACACAUGCAAGUCGAGCGAGAACCGGUCCUUCGGGACUGGGGAAAGCGGCGAACGGGUGAGUAACACGUGGGUAAUCAACCCCUGGCACCGGGAUAGCCCGAGGAAACUCGGAUUAAUACCGGAUGGCCCAGCAGCUCUUCGGGGCGGCUGGGAAAGGUAGCUUCGGCCUCUGGCCAGGGACGAGCCCGCGGCGGAUUAGCUUGUUGGUGGGGUAAUGGCCUACCAAGGCGACGAUCCGUAGCUGGUCUGAGAGGACGAUCAGCCACACUGGGACUGAGACACGGCCCAGACUCCUACGGGAGGCAGCAGUGGGGAAUCUUGCACAAUGGGCGGAAGCCUGAUGCAGCGACGCCGCGUGAGGGAAGAAGGCUUUCGGGUUGUAAACCUCUUUCAGGAGGGACGAAGCUCCUCGGGUUAAUAGCCCAGAGGGUGACGGUACCUCCAGAAGAAGCCCCGGCUAACUACGUGCCAGCAGCCGCGGUAAUACGUAGGGGGCAAGCGUUGUCCGGAUUUAUUGGGCGUAAAGAGCGUGUAGGCGGCCAGAUAGGUCUGUUGUGAAAACUCGAGGCUCAACCUCGAGACGCCGAUGGAAACCAUUUGGCUAGAGUCCGGAAGAGGAGAGUGGAAUUCCUGGUGUAGCGGUGAAAUGCGCAGAUAUCAGGAAGAACACCCGUGGCUAAGGCGGCUCUCUAGUACGGUACUGACGCUGAGACGCGAAAGCGUGGGGAGCGAACAGGA
rnacentral:rRNA from 1 species